rnacentral:tRNA from 1 species
GAGACCCUAGUAAACUAUUACGUAGCUCUGUCAGCGCUAAAUAAAAGGUAAACCCCUUUGGGACUCC